rnacentral:rRNA from 1 species
UACGUAGGGGGCAAGCGUUGUCCGGAAUCAUUGGGCGUAAAGAGCGUGUAGGCGGCUCGGUAAGUCCGUUCUGAAAGUCCAGGGCUCAACCCUGGGAUGCGGAUGGAUACUGCCGGGCUCGAGUCCGGAAGAGGCGAGUGGAAUCCCGGUGUAGCGGUGAAAUGCGCAGAUAUCGGGAGGAACACCAAUGGCGAAGGCAGCUCGCUGGGACGUGACUGACGCUGAGACGCGAAAGCGUGGGGAGCAA